rnacentral:rRNA from 1 species
CCUACGGGGGGCAGCAGUGGGGAAUAUUGCACAAUGGGGGAAACCCUGAUGCAGCAACGCCGCGUGAGUGAAGAAGUAUUUCGGUAUGUAAAGCUCUAUCAGCAGGGAAGAAAAUGACAGUACCCGACUAAGAAGCCCCGGCUAACUACGUGCCAGCAGCCGCGGUAAUACGUAGGGGUCAAGCGUUAUCCGGAUUUACUGGGUGGAAAGGGAGCGUAGACGGCUGCGCAAGUCAGAAGUGAAAGCUCGGGGCUCAACCGCGGGACUGCUUUUGAAACUGUGUAGCUAGAGUGCAGGAGAGGUAAGUGGAAUGCCUAGUGUAGCGGUGAAAUGCGUAGAUAUUAGGAGGAACACCGGUGGCGAAGGCGGCUUACUGGACUGUAACUGACGUUGAGGCUCGAAAGCGUGGGUAGCAAACAGGAUUAGAUACCCGAGUAGUC